UACGAAGGGUGCAAGCGUUACUCGGAAUUACUGGGCGUAAAGCGUGCGCAGGCGGUGAUGUAAGACAGAUGUGAAAUCCCCGGGCUCAACCUGGGAACUGCAUUUGUGACUGCAUCGCUGGAGUACGGCAGAGGGGGAUGGAAUUCCGCGUGUAGCAGUGAAAUGCGUAGAUAUGCGGAGGAACACCGAUGGCGAAGGCAAUCCCCUGGGCCUGUACUGACGCUCAUGCACGAAAGCGUGGGGAGCAAACAGG
rnacentral:rRNA from 1 species